UGUAUGUACCUUACGAAUAAGCAUCGGCUAAUUCCGUGCCAGCAGCCGCGGUAAUACGGAAGAUGCGAGCGUUAUCCGGAUUUAUUGGGUUUAAAGGGAGCGUAGGCGGACUGUUAAGUCAGCGGUCAAAUGUCAGGGCCCAACCUUGGCCUGCCGUUGAUACUGUCAGUCUUGAAUGCACACAAGGAAGAUGGAAUUCGUCGUGUAGCGGUGAAAUGCUUAGAUAUGACGAAGAACUCCGAUUGCGAAGGCAGUCUUCUGGGGUGCUAUUGACGCUGAGGCUCGAAAGUGCGGGAAUCAAACAGGAUUAGAUACCCUG
rnacentral:rRNA from 1 species